rnacentral:rRNA from 1 species
UACGGGGGGGGCAAGCGUUGUUCGGAAUUACUGGGCGUAAAGGGCUCGUAGGCGGCCAACUAAGUCGGACGUGAAAUCCCUCGGCUUAACCGGGGAACUGCGUCCGAUACUGGAUGGCUUGAGUUCGGGAGAGGGAUGCGGAAUUCCAGGUGUAGCGGUGAAAUGCGUAGAUAUCUGGAGGAAUACCGGUGGCGAAGGCGGCAUCCUGGACCGGGAUUGACACUGAGGAGCGAAAGCUAGGGGAGCAAACAGG